rnacentral:rRNA from 1 species
GACGAACGCUGGCGGCGUGCUUAACACAUGCAAGUCGAACGAAGUGGCGAACGGGUGAGUAACGCGUAAUCAACCUGCCCUUCAGAGGGGGACAACAGUUGGAAACGACUGCUAAUACCGCAUACUCAAGGCGGGGAUUGCGUCUGAUUAGAUAGUUGGAGGGGUAACGGCCCACCAAGUCGAUGAUCAGUAGCGGGUCUGAUAGGAUGAACGGGCACAGUGGGACUGAGACCAGGCCCAGACUACGACGGGAGGCAGCAGUGGGUAAUCUUCCGCAAUGGACGAAAGUCUGACGGAGCAACUCCGCGUGAGUGAUGACGGCCUUCGGGUUGUAAAGCUCUGUUAAUCGGGACGCGGUACCGGAAUAGAAAGCCACGGCUAACUACGGGCCAGCCGCCGCGGUAAUUC